GGUUAAGCGACUAAGCGUACACGGUGGAUGCCCGGCAGUCAGAGGCGAUGAAGGACGUGCUAAUCUGCGAAAAGCGUCGGUAAGGUGAUAUGAACCGUUAUAACCGGCGAUGUCCGAAUGGGGAAACCCAGUGUGAUUCGUCACACUAUCGUUAACUGAAUACAUAGGUUAACGAGGCGAACCGGGGGAACUGAAACAUCUAAGUACCCCGAGGAAAAGAAAUCAACCGAGAUUCCCCCAGUAGCGGCGAGCGAACGGGGAGCAGCCCAGAGUCUGAAUCAGCUUGUGUGUUAGUGGAACGGUCUGGAAAGUCCGACGGUACAGGGUGAUAGUCCCGUACACCAAAAUGCACAGGUUGUGAACUCGAAGAGUAGGGCGGGACACGUGGUAUCCUGUCUGAAUAUGGGGGACCAUCCUCCAAGGCUAAAUACUCCUGACUGACCGAUAGUGAACCAGUACCGUGAGGGAAAGGCGAAAAGAACCCCGGCGAGGGGAGUGAAAAAGAACCUGAAACCGUGUACGUACAAGCAGUGGGAGCACCUUCGGGUGUGACUGCGUACCUUUUGUAUAAUGGGUCAGCGACUUAUAUUCUGUAGCAAGGUUAACCGUAUAGGGGAGCCGCAGGGAAACCGAGUCUUAACUGGGCGUUAAGUUGCAGGGUAUAGACCCGAAACCCGGUGAUCUAGCCAUGGGCAGGUUGAAGGUUGGGUAACACUAACUGGAGGACCGAACCGACUAAUGUUGAAAAAUUAGCGGAUGACUUGUGGCUGGGGGUGAAAGGCCAAUCAAACCGGGAGAUAGCUGGUUCUCCCCGAAAGCUAUUUAGGUAGCGCCUCGUGAACUCAUCUUCGGGGGUAGAGCACUGUUUCGGCUAGGGGGUCAUCCCGACUUACCAACCCGAUGCAAACUACGAAUACCGAAGAAUGUUAUCACGGGAGACACACGGCGGGUGCUAACGUCCGUCGUGAAGAGGGAAACAACCCAGACCGCCAGCUAAGGUCCCAAAGUCAUGGUUAAGUGGGAAACGAUGUGGGAAGGCACAGACAGCCAGGAUGUUGGCUUAGAAGCAGCCAUCAUUUAAAGAAAGCGUAAUAGCUCACUGGUCGAGUCGGCCUGCGCGGAAGAUGUAACGGGGCUAAACCAUGCACCGAAGCUGCGGCAGCGACACUAUGUGUUGUUGGGUAGGGGAGCGUUCUGUAAGCCUGCGAAGGUGACCUGUGAGGGUUGCUGGAGGUAUCAGAAGUGCGAAUGCUGACAUAAGUAACGAUAAAGCGGGUGAAAAGCCCGCUCGCCGGAAGACCAAGGGUUCCUGUCCAACGUUAAUCGGGGCAGGGUGAGUCGACCCCUAAGGCGAGGCCGAAAGGCGUAGUCGAUGGGAAACAGGUUAAUAUUCCUGUACUUGGUGUUACUGCGAAGGGGGGACGGAGAAGGCUAUGUUAGCCGGGCGACGGUUGUCCCGGUUUAAGCAUGUAGGCUGAUUGUCCAGGCAAAUCCGGAUAAUCAAGGCUGAGGUGUGAUGACGAGGCACUACGGUGCUGAAGUAACAAAUGCCCUGCUUCCAGGAAAAGCCUCUAAGCAUCAGGUAACAUCAAAUCGUACCCCAAACCGACACAGGUGGUCAGGUAGAGAAUACCAAGGCGCUUGAGAGAACUCGGGUGAAGGAACUAGGCAAAAUGGUGCCGUAACUUCGGGAGAAGGCACGCUGGUGUGUAGGUGAAGUCCCUGCGGAUGGAGCUGAGACCAGUCGAAGAUACCAGCUGGCUGCAACUGUUUAUUAAAAACACAGCACUGUGCAAACACGAAAGUGGACGUAUACGGUGUGACGCCUGCCCGGUGCCGGAAGGUUAAUUGAUGGGGUUAUCCGUAAGGAGAAGCUCUUGAUCGAAGCCCCGGUAAACGGCGGCCGUAACUAUAACGGUCCUAAGGUAGCGAAAUUCCUUGUCGGGUAAGUUCCGACCUGCACGAAUGGCGUAAUGAUGGCCAGGCUGUCUCCACCCGAGACUCAGUGAAAUUGAACUCGCUGUGAAGAUGCAGUGUACCCGCGGCAAGACGGAAAGACCCCGUGAACCUUUACUAUAGCUUGACACUGAACAUUGAGCCUUGAUGUGUAGGAUAGGUGGGAGGCUUUGAAGCGUGGACGCCAGUCUGCGUGGAGCCAACCUUGAAAUACCACCCUUUAAUGUUUGAUGUUCUAACGUUGGCCCCUUACCGGGGUUGCGGACAGUGUCUGGUGGGUAGUUUGACUGGGGCGGUCUCCUCCCAAAGCGUAACGGAGGAGCACGAAGGUUAGCUAAUCCUGGUCGGACAUCAGGAGGUUAGUGCAAUGGCAUAAGCUAGCUUGACUGCGAGCGUGACGGCGCGAGCAGGUGCGAAAGCAGGUCAUAGUGAUCCGGUGGUUCUGAAUGGAAGGGCCAUCGCUCAACGGAUAAAAGGUACUCCGGGGAUAACAGGCUGAUACCGCCCAAGAGUUCAUAUCGACGGCGGUGUUUGGCACCUCGAUGUCGGCUCAUCACAUCCUGGGGCUGAAGUAGGUCCCAAGGGUAUGGCUGUUCGCCAUUUAAAGUGGUACGCGAGCUGGGUUUAGAACGUCGUGAGACAGUUCGGUCCCUAUCUGCCGUGGGCGCUGGAGAAUUGAGGGGGCUGCUCCUAGUACGAGAGGACCGGAGUGGACGCAUCACUGGUGUUCGGGUUGUCAUGCCAAUGGCACUGCCCGGUAGCUAAAUGCGGAAGAGAUAAGUGCUGAAAGCAUCUAAGCACGAAACUUGCCCCGAGAUGAGUUCUCCCUGAGACUUUAAGUCUCCUGAAGGAACGUUGAAGACGACGACGUUGAUAGGCCGGGUGUGUAAGCGCAGCGAUGCGUUGAGCUAACCGGUACUAAUGAACCGUGAGGCUUAACCUU
rnacentral:rRNA from 1 species